GACGAACGCUGGCGGCGUGCUUAACACAUGCAAGUCGAACGGGCCUGUCUUCUUUUUUGGGGGUGGGUUGAGUGGCGAACGGGUGAGUAUCACGUGAGUAACCUGCCCUUCGGUCCUGGAUAACCGCUUGAAAGGGCGGCUAAUACGGGGUGGUCCGGUUGGUCCGCAUGGGCUGGUCGGGAUAGAUUCACUGUUUUUGGUGUUUCGGCGGGGGAUGGGCUCGCGGCCUAUCAGCUUGUUGGUGGGGUGAUGGCCUACCAAGGCGGUGACGGGUAGCCGGCCUGAGAGGGUGGGCGGCCACACUGGGACUGAGAUACGGCCCAGACUCCUGCGGGAGGCAGCAGUGGGGGGUAUUGCACAAUGGGCGGAAGCCUGAUGCAGCGACGUCGUGUGAGGGAUGGAGGCCUUCGGGUUGUGAACCUCUGUUUCCGGUGGUGAAGGCCCUGUCCGUGUGGUGGGGUUGACGGUAGCCGGGGAUGAAGCGCCGGCUAACUACGUG
rnacentral:rRNA from 1 species